CCAUUGUUCAAUAAGGACUACUGAUAAUGAAAAGAGCUGUGGGACUUCUUACCGACUCCAGUGUGGAAAUUAAGUGAAGAGCCAGAUUUUACAAGUUCAGUCUUUGCCAGUUUUUUGGUUAUCCACAUCAAGUAGGACCUUGGUCAUCAGACUUCAUGAUCAGUCAGAGCCCGUGGAAGGUGACCGUACCAGUCCUAUAUCCUAUCUGGGUAACAACAGCCUUGCUGAGUGAUACUACUUUGUUUCUG
rnacentral:lncRNA from 1 species